rnacentral:rRNA from 1 species
AGGACGAACGCUGGCGGCGUGCUUAACACAUGCAAGUCGAACGAUGAAGGAGGAGCUUGCUCCUCCGGAUUAGUGGCGAACGGGUGAGUAAUACGUGAGCAAUGUGCCCUUGACUCUGGGAUAAGCGCUGGAAACGGCGUCUAAUACCGGAUACGACCCUCGGAGGCAUCUCCUGAUGGGUGGAAAGAACUUCGGUCAAGGAUCAGCUCACGGCCUAUCAGCUAGUUGGUGAGGUAACGGCUCACCAAGGCGACGACGGGUAGCCGGCCUGAGAGGGUGACCGGCCACACUGGGACUGAGACACGGCCCAGACUCCUACGGGAGCAGCAGUGGGGAAUAUUGCACAAUGGGCGCAAGCCUGAUGCAGCAACGCCGCGUGAGGGACGAAGGCCGUUCGGUUGUAAACCGUCUUUUAGACGAGGAAGAAGACGAAAGUGACGUACUGACAGAAAAGCGAACCGACUAACUACGUAGACCAGCACGCCGACGGUAA